UAAUGGGAUUCGGAUUCGGAUUCCGUCGGAUUGGCGGGAUUCCAGGGUGGCGAAACCCCAAAGGGGAUACUUUAACAGCUUGCAGUCGAGUGGUAAAUCCAUUAACUUGAGUGUUUACGACAGGCUAAUACCGUGUAGCUUAUACCUCAUAUUAUGAGGUGCUACUUUCAACAGCUUAUCAACAUUAGAUAUUAUGUUUAUUUCAGUCAGAACUCGCUAUUUGACAGUAAUUAAUCUAAUCACUUUAAAGGCACUUCAUACAUACAAAACUUAUCUAAUGCUCACAACGCAAAAUAUACCAAUCAUUUGUAUCAGUUUGCUACAUAUUUAUUCAGAUCUGCUAUAUAUGGCUAAUAAAUAUAAAAUGUGUCUAAAAUGACGCAUUUUAAGGUUGAUACUCGCGAAAUUAAAUUAAACUAUUUUUGCUUGUAUACUUAUUGCUGAUAAGAAGUAACUUUAAUGUUUCAAAUCAACAAAUCACUUAUUUCUUAAUGACUUAUGCUAAUGCCAAAUGGGCUUUGGCUAAACCAAUACACCCAUCGUUUCUAAAUAAACGGGUAUCGCAGAUCGCCUAAUAGCAUUGAAUCGUCUACUUGGAUUACACGCCCUAAGGUUAAUCCAACUUAGUAGAUGCCAUUGCCUAGUAACUUACCUGCCUCAACUAAAAUGUCAUGCUAAUAGUAUUGAAUCACUCUUAUCGCGUGGCGGGAAAAUUCCACACUCUGCCAGUCGCAGAGCGUCCGUUACACUUUCAUUCAUGUAAACAAGUGGCAAAAUCAACCCCAACAACACCGCCAUCAAUGUUAAUGUCAUCUAUAAGCUCCCAAGAUCAUUGCACUCGUCGCUAUAUAUUCUUAAUCUCUUAGUGUCUGUGGUCUGCAUGAGUAAGAGAUAAUCUCUCGGCAAAAGCUCAUGUCUUAUACAAAGUACUAUCAUUUUGAAGCCAACAUAUCGGUCGUCUCAAUAUUUUCGAGAAUGGUGGAAUUAAUAUUUUAAAUACAAUUUGUAUUUAUAUAAACUUGUAGGUGCCUAAUUUCUUUAAAAAGCAUUUUUACUGCCUACUUUCAGGCGACAGGUGAUUGACCAAAGCCCCAUAAGUUCUCUGUGGUGGGCGCUCUUGUUUAUGCACUACUUUUUUUCUUAAAAGAUUUUUUCAAUGAAAAGCUUGGCUAUUGCCGCCGUUUCCUUUGUUUCGGUCUUUAUAAGUGCUUCCCGUCUCCGCCACCAGCCUCCCCACCCACAGACGGUUUAUUAUUUUUGCAGUUUUGUUUUGACUCAUUUUCUCAGUGUGAGGCGUUGUGCUUGUGUGUGUGCGAUCGCUGGCAAGUUGUCCAACUGGCUCUGCCUCUUUUUUGUGUAUGUGUGACGCCAUUAGGCGGGCAAAAUAAAAACAAAGCGCUGCAUGUAUGGGUUUUUGAGGCCGCCUAGCAACAAUGUCUCGAAGUUGUCGCCGCCUGUCGACUGUUUUUACCUUUGGCUUCUGUUUUGAUCGGGUGGCGUGUUUUGUAGCCUCUUUUUGGCCAUAAAGCCACCCGCUUACAGGCCAAGUGCAGUAAGUAACACUAAAGUAUAACACUUGUGUAUGGGCUGGAGGUAUCCGAAAGAUACUUUUUUGUUUCAUUGAGCUGCCAUUGAUGAUAACCUUUAGAUACAGCGACGUCGGUGAAGUGACAACCAAAUGAAUAAUAUUAUUGUUGACGACGCGAGCCUCUGAAUCUAUUUUUCAGGCCGAGCCUCCGUUCGCGAAUUUACCAUAGCAAAUAGCAUUAUUUAUGCAGGCGAGGAAUAAAAACAAUUUCUUAAAUGUAAUAAAGAUUAAUACCGCUUAUCAGUUGAAUGGCACACGCGGCUUUUUGGAAGGCCCCAUCGAUCAGCGAAUGCUUUGCUGAAAAUAUGAAGGAAACCAGGCUCAUAGUCUGCUAAUGAUUACCUAUCAGUUAAUGGUUUGUUUACCGCAAUUUCCCAGAAUUCCCAGAAACUUCUAGAUAAGAUUCCCCAAUAUAAUGACGAUUUGUUUGCAUUUCCUCUACAAACAUGAAUCAUUUCAUUCAUCGAGUAAGCCGCUUGCCACCAAUUCGAAUUGCACGCAAAGCUUUCGCAAGUAGAUUUUACUGCAUGUAACCGAUGGAAUAAACCAGACCAGACCCAGACCCGCAUUCAACCAUUACCUUAUACACAGUAUUUCACUCGCGGAACACUUUAAUCUACAAGUACAUAUGUAUAUUCGUAUAUGAAAGCGUGGGCAGUCUGGAAUCGCUUAUCAGUCGGUAAACAAAAUACGAAAUUAGUUGCUUCCACUCUCUGUGGACUUUGAUAUGCGGUAAUGAGCAUUCUAUUAGUACUUAUAAAACAUCCUCCAGACUGGGUGCCGUAUAAUCCAGUUCAGACUGAAUUUCCCACCGCACUUUCUGCGUAUUUUACUGGGAGAAGAAGGCAUUUCUGGGAACAAAGAUUAAUAAUAAACAAAGUUUCACUAGGAAUGUGCAACCAAGUGUGUUUACCUAUGAUGACGCGGAUAAUAAUCUUUCCAGCGGAAAACUUUGCAUUUGCGAAACUGAUAUGAGAUUUUCCUCUAAACAAACCUCGCGUCACAGCCACUUUUAGUAGGUCACAUAUAAUUUAACAAUAUCUAGCGCAUGUUUUGGCUUUAUGAAAAGUAUCCCAUCUCUAGUUUAAGUAUCCAUAAAAUGGUGUUCCCCACCCCUCCUCGAUGGUCUACUGGGUCCUCCAGCUGAUAAGCCGCAGAUUGUGGCCGCCUUUCGCCUUCAAUUUCAGAUACUGGGCGCUGGGUUGGUUCUUUCAUCGAAUCUGAGGCAGAGGGGCAAGGCUAAUGAACCCUCCGAUGAAACCAGUUUCGUUUAUUUCAUCAGACUGCAAGUACAGUUUUUGGCUGUGGAAAAUCUGUUGAAUCAGCUGACACCCCCAUGACUGUUGCCAAGUGUUUUGGGUGAACAUUUUCGUAUACCACUAACCGUACUAUUAUUAGACUGAUAUGUUCUUUUUCCACAUGUUCUUUUUCCAUAUACACACACAUACAUCAGUGGAACACGCUCUGGCUGAAAAUUCGACGAAUGUAUUUAUUGCGUAUUUUUUGCAAUAAAAAGCGCAAAUGAAUGCGUAAACAACAAGAGGAAGUCCACGAAGUGGGAAAUACA